ACAAUCCAGACCCAUCUAACCCUAAUCCCCAUUCUCUUCUCCCCCUCAGCCGCCAGGACUGCCCGCUACCGAUUCCGGCGAUUCUAGCGGCUAUCCCUGGCGAUGAGCACACCAUCGAGCUCCCCUCGCUCGGGUGCAUCCUCCCCUCCGGCAAGAUUUUCCCCUCUCAGCCUCUACCGCUCGCCCAAAACACACACCCGAUCUAGGGUUUCGGCCUUCGGCAUAGCCUUUGUCGUCGGCGCAUCUCCGGCGUCCUCUGGCAGCUCUUCUCCAUCAUCUGCAGCGCCCCCUCGCGCGCUCUUGCCUCCUGAUGGUCCACCUCGAGUAGGGCGGCGCGGGGGAACUCCUCCCGCAGGAUCCACGGACGCGGCGCACCCUGCAGCCGUCGGUCUGGGACGAGGGCCGGCACCGCGGCUUGUCUUGGUCGACGACGGUUGUGGCGAAUACCGGUGCUGCUCCUCAUUCGCAAAAUCCUAGGACGAGCGCCAGUACAGCAUAAGCACGCCCCGCCCCUGAACAAUGGCCAUGGCACUAGCAGUGUACAGGACGUCCUCCUCCUCAAAGCGUCCAUCCAUGACGAGCUCCCUUCGCUGCAGGAGGAGCAGCAAGUCCAGCACCUGCUUGUCUCCUGUGUCCUAUAGCGCGUGGACAAGCUCACCAAUGGAUGCGUCUUCCUUCCCUCCUACCGUGGCCAAAGCAAGGAGUGUGCCGGAUUGAGCAGUGUAAUGGAAUCGUAACUCCAAGCUGUUGACUGUUGUGGCAUGUCAUCUGCCUUCAAACCAAUAUUAUGUGAGCAUGCCUUGUUCCACACAGUCCUCUUAAUCUGCACUGAUUUGAUUCAACUGUGUGUAUAGAAAAUAGACCUUGCUGUUUUCCUGACUAUUUUUGUUUCAAAUUUGCUAGACUAAAUACGUGCGCAAAUAUCAAUGCUAGACUUGCCCAGAUUGUUUUAUGAUAACUGCAUACCAAUAGAUUAUGAUCUUGAGCUGUUAGUUAUUUGUUAAAGGUCGGGGCAAUCACAUCUGUAACUUACUAUGAGCACUAGCGGCUCACCGCAGGUAACCAGGCUGCAUUCUUGGCCUUAGUUACUUGCAGAAUAUGUG